ACAACAACGGUGACAAGGAUGCGGGAACAGCAAGCCCCGACACUGUCACAACCGACGAGGAUUUCUC
rnacentral:ribozyme from 1 species